AAGGGAGAGGAAUAAGUAGAAAUCUACCCUCGGAUCGGGGAUAGCGGCGGGAAACUGCCGGUAAUACCCGAUAACGUCUUUGGACCAAAGGUGUGAUUCCGUCUGAGGAUGAGUCUACUUCCUAUUAGCUAGUUGGCGGGGUAAUGGCCCACCAAGGCAACGAUGGGUAGCAGGUGUGGGAGCAUGACCUGCCUCAUUGGGACUGAGACACUGCCCAGACACCUACGGGUGGCUGCAGUCGAGAAUCUUCGGCAAUGGACGAAAGUCUGACCGAGCGACGCCGCGUGCGGGAUGAAGGCCUUCGGGUUGUAAACCGCUGUCGGAGGGGAACAAAUGUACGGGGGUACUCCCCUGUAUUUGAGUGAACCUAGGAGGAAGGAGAGGCUAAGCUCGUGCCAGCAGCCGCGGUAAGACGAGCUCUCCGAACGUUAUUCGGUAUCACUGGGCUUAAAGAGUUCGUAGGCGGUCUGGUAGGUGAGGUGUGAAAUCCCCCGGCUCAACCGGGGAACUGCGCUUCAAACCGCCGGACUUGAGGGAGACAGAGGUGGGCGGAACAGAUGGUGGAGCGGUGAAAUGCGUUGA
rnacentral:rRNA from 1 species